AAGAUUUGUUUUCACCAGCCAUCUUAGUUCAAGCUCACUCUGGAUAUAUUACAACCAAGUGAUUGUGCAGCAACGGGAACUGGACAGAUGAUCUGUGAAUUCGGAUAAGCAAGGGGGAAAAUGUUACACGACCAUUCCAGGAGAUAAAAUCAAGAAUGUUGAAUCAUUGAGGAACACACCAAAUAAACCCUGGGCUGUGAAUUAUGUUAACGGAAGUGGAAGUGAACACCAAAGAAAGAAGAUUCUGGCAUUCAAUAAUUUCGAAAAGUGUAUACAUUUUCUAUAAUCUAAAAAUA